UACGUAGGGUGCGAGCGUUGUCCGGAAUUAUUGGGCGUAAAGAGCUCGUAGGCGGUUUGUCGCGUCUGCCGUGAAAGUCCGGGGCUCAACUCCGGAUCUGCGGUGGGUACGGGCAGACUAGAGUGAUGUAGGGGAGACUGGAAUUCCUGGUGUAGAGGUGAAAUUCGUAGAUAUCAGGAGGAACACCGGUGGCGAAGGCGGCUUUCUGGACGACAACUGACGCUGAGACGCGAAAGCGUGGGGAGCAAACAGG
rnacentral:rRNA from 1 species